GGCUUGCUGGAGGCACCGGGGGCGCUAGGCGGAAGGGCUCCUCCCCUCCGUGGCUCUGAGCUAGGGUGUUGUUACCAGAGCCUGGGAGGAGGGGCGACGAGGACAUCUCUGCGAGGGCACCGGCUGAGGGGCCAACGGUCAGCAGGAGCCGGACACGCACAUGCCUUCGCCGCUUCCCUCAGGGACUGGAAGCAGGCGCGGAUGGGGCAGGGAGUGGAGGGACGGCGCGCGUCCGGAUGCCAUUGCUCAUGCGCGCGGCGGCCCGUGCGCCUUUGCGAGAGGCUAGGCUUGGGACCGCCGGACCCCCGUCAACGCCGGGCGCGCUUCUCCCAGCGCUAAGCGGGAGGGCGCGCGCCCCUUGCGCUGGGACAGGUGCUUUGACGUGGGAACCUUAAGGGGUUUUCCUUCCCCGCUUCUAAAACUGUAAAGCCGGCAAGCUGGAAAGACCGCUAAAGCUCAUCUCGGCCAACCACCUCGUUUUUAAUUUAUGGGGCGACUGAGAAGACGGGAAGUGACGGAGGGGUCCCAGCUGGAGCCUAUGCUGUAUCUCCUUAGGAUUCAAGCAUUGCUGGAGGACUGGUGGAGCAGGACUUCAGGACUCUAUUUAUAUAUAGCUCCUGGAGUAUCUUAGGAAAGAAGCCAUGCUAAGAGAGAGCUGAGUCCCCAAGCCUGGUUCAAGGAUGUGAGCCACUGUCAGAAAGGAGAAGAAAUGGUGAAAGCAUCAUGGUCUCUGUCAUUUAGAUCAGCCUCCAGCUCAGCCUCCAUGGAUUCAUGCCUCUGUCAUAAGGAAUAAUCCACUACUGAGGACCCAGUGCCCCACAAAGUGAACCUUGGCCUCCCACAGAAGAACGCUUUAAGGAGCUACCAACUCAUUUACCUUUGCUCUAGUGCAGCACCCAUAUUAUGGGUGGUAAGAGAGAAAAAAGAAAAAAAUCUACUGAGGAGAAAAACAUACAACAUAGUCCUGCAUCAGUCUUUUGCCAACGACAGAUGGGUCAACCACAACAAAUGGGCAGUUUGCACAUGAGACUUAAUGUACAACUCCUUGUUCAUUUUUCUUUGACAGUGGAAGGACAUUGGACCUGACAUACAGAAAAGAUUUGCUGUUUUUGAAAUUCCAUGGACACUGGUAUGUUGCAGUCAGCUUAGGUAGAUGUUAUUAUCCUCAACAAGAAUUACAUUUUUGAAAAUACCUGAGAACAAACUACUGAUGCUCAAAACAUUACAGAUGAAUUUCACAGCUAUUAUAUUGAAUGGAAGAAGCCGGACACAAAAUAAUACAUGCUGUAUUAUUUCAUCUAUAUGAAAUUUAAGAACUGAUAGAAGUUCAAGAACUGAUGGAAGAUUAUAGAGGCCAGAAGAAUGCUUAUCUCCAGUGGGGAGGAGAGUGGUGACUGAGAAGGGGUGUGAAGGAAACAUUUGAGUGCUGGAGUAUUUCUCUAUUGUGAUCCAGAUGGGGGUUACAGAGAUGCAUAAAGACGCAAAGAUUCAUCACAAUAUACACUUAAGAUGAUUGCACUUUAUUAUAAAAGCAAUUUUUACUUCAAUAAAAUAUUUAGUAAAAGGUAUGUUAUACUAAAAUUAAAAGAAAAAGAAGAAUCUGAGAAAGUAUGUUUUAUAAACUGGGAAGCACUUCAAAGUCUCUUUUACCUUAAAAAUUUGAGAUGCCUUUGACAACCUCCCUUCUCCUAGUUUCUCCCUCUCUGUGGUCACUCCUCAGUCUCUCUAAGGUUCAGUUGGCUUUUCUCUGCCUGUCUUGUAAGCAUUGUGUCCCCAGAGUUCUGUCCUUAUAACUCUCCUCACUUUACAUACUAUUGACAAUCUCUGUAGCUCCAACUCCCAGCACAAUUUUCUAACUUCCAGGUCACACUCUUUUCUCCUCUGUACCCAUACUCAUUCAUUGAACAACUACAUACUGGAUUGUUUUUACUGGGUGUCUUAUGCCAAGUACUGUUCUUGGCACUAGGCCAUGUCAGUCAAUGAAACAGAGAUCUUUGCCUUCAUGGAGCUUAUGUGCCCAGAUUGCUCUCCCUGGGCCUACCAAGACUCAGAUGUCCCAGAAGAUCUCAUAAUCUUCACCCCUUGAUUCUCUCUAACCUCAAACUUGUUUUUCCCAUGCAUCUUCCAUCUCUGUGAUUGCACUGUCAUCCUCUCAGAAACUCGGAAUCAUCCCUGACCCCGCUUCACUAUUCCAUGUCCUGAAUAUCUCUCAGAACCCUCCACUUGUCUGUAUUUGCACUGCCCUGACUCAUUCUCAUUGUUUCCCAUUUGGCUUACUAAUUGGUCUCUCUGCCUCCAGUCUUCUUCCUGCCUAUCACUCUCCAUACAGCCGCUAGAAUGAUUAUAAAAUGCAAAUCAGGACAAGUUGCUUUCUGCCUAAACCUGUCCAGUGAAAGUCUAAAUUCCUUACCUUGUUCUCAUAUUCUCGGCUGUCAGGAUAUAAGCAUAGCUGCUGAAACCUGGGUUCACAUCCCUGCUUACCAGCAUAAACUUGGGCAAAAUUGUUUUAUCCAUUCCAUGCCUUACUUCCCCAUCUAUAAAAUGGGAAUGAUAAUAGUACUGACCUUGAGCUGUUAUGGGGAUUAAAUUUAUUAUUGCACACAAGGCACUAAGAACAGUGCCUGGUCCUCAGUAUAUACUCAAGAAGGCUAGUUUUCUUUUAGACGGUGCUGUAAUGUUUAAAUAAGUUAAAACAUCUAAGAGGCUUUGCACAGCACCCAGCCUGUCUUAAAUACUCUGUAAUGUCAAUGUUGUUGCCUCUCUAGCCUUACUUCUUGCCCCUCUUCCACACAAACCUGACUCAGCCCUAUGGGGCUGGCUAUGGUUCUCUUUCUUACAUGUCCCUUGGUUCCUCCCUUUCCUGUCUUUUUCCUGGAUGUCUCCCACCGAUCCUUCAAGUCUCUGCUCAGGCACCAGCCCCUGGCUGCCUCAGCCCAAGCUGGAUUGGUGGCUCCUCCUCUGUCUCUCCCUCUUAGAACCUGUGCUUGCCUCUAUGACAGAACGUAGUAAUUGUUUAUUUAAAACAUACUAAGAAGCAUCCAUCAACAGAUGAAUGGAUAAGCAAAAUGUGGUAUAUACAUACAAUGGGAUAUUAUUCCACCUUAAGAAGGAAUGAAGUACAUCAUGGAUGAACCUCGAAAACAUUGUGCUAGGUAAAAUAAGCCAGGAUUUAGAGCCAAGAUUAAAACAGUUAGGCUAAAUUGCUGUAAAUCCUGGCUUCACCAGGCUGUGUGACCUGGUGUAAGGUAUACAGUUUCUCUAUGUUUUAGUUUCUUCAUCUGUAAAAAUAGGUAAAUUUCCUUUAUAAAGUUGUUUGAAGUAAUGUGUGUAGAAUACUUGACAUAUAACCUGGAUAAUGGUAAGCACUCAAUAAGUGUUUUCCCUUAUUAUUGUUCAGUUGUGAUCUCUUUGGGCACAGGCUCUAUGAUCUCUGUCACAGUUCAUUGAUAUGGUUUCAGAUUCCACACUGCAACCAACCUUGAAGAACAUAUUGCAACAGA